CCUAAACUGAUGUGAUUCCUUUGUCCUCAGGAGGGCAAAGCACCUUGAUUGACAGUCCUAUAAAAUUGCCUGCAAUGUAUGAGAAGAACUUCCAAGUAAAAUGAACAUCUGUUAUCAGAAGAGGCAAGAAUGGAUGCUGGGAAUGCAAUGUAACCAAACAAUGAAAAAUUCUCCCAUGGAUGUAACUGACUUGGUUCUCAAGUCAGCUAUGUUUCCUAAGCAACUCGUACAAUAAGAAAUCUUCCCAAAUCUCCAUCUUCUCAGAGAAGCGCUGGGGGAAAAUAGCUGACGUCAUGUGUAUGCACACACUCCAGGAAAGGCGAAGGGUUCUUCUGACGCUGAGACAAUGGGAGGCUGACAUUCCUGCUUUCAUGUUUCUCCAUGAGGUGGAAUUCAGGUACUUAGAGGCUGUCAUUGGGAACAUAGCCCUCGUCCUGGAGUCUCAGUCUGACAGAGCCCUAGGCAGCAGGGGGUGGAGGAAGGAGAGAGAGAAGGAGGAGAGAUUGAAGUCAGCUUUACUGACCCUAACUAAACAUUUCAUUUCCUUGACUCUUUCAACCAGAGGAAUUGAAGACUUGCUGGUGGAUCUCAUUAUGAUGCCUGGAUCUACCCUGGAACAGCAGACAAAACUUUCUGAUGCCAAUUAUUUCUCCAUACUUCUCAGUAUCACCCACUCUGAAAUCAAUAUCACUGUGCUCCAUUUAUUCAUAAGUAGGCUUCCUACAGGUCACCUCCAAGUACUUUGAUUACAUUCACAUUUCUUUAAAAAAUUUUAUAUCAUAGAAAUCUUUGUAGCAAUAUCCAAAAUUCAUUUUUCACACCUUCAAUCACAGAGACAUUCAUACAUAUUGAACACAGAAUAAAAAUUUACAAGACAGAAUAACCUUAAUUUCG
ensembl:lncRNA